UAAUAAUAUGUAAGAUAAUAAUAGAUAUUUACUGUUUUUAAGGUUUGGGAAUUAUACUCAUAUACGAUUGUUAUUCAUGUGUUUCGUUGGUAAUAAUGUCAUUGUUGAUGUCAUACAUUUUUUAAAGUGUGUUACUCAACCAUCUGAGAAUUUACACUGAAGAGGCCUGAAAUGCAUAUGUAAUUUACAAUAAAGGAAUACUUAACCUCAGAGCUGAAAGAAAGUCUACCGUUUGUUAACCAUUCGGAUUGAAGAGACAUAUACUAAAUCUAAGUAUUUAUCAGCUAUUAUACCAGAUUUU